rnacentral:rRNA from 1 species
UUGGUCAUAAUACGUCCAUUCCCUGACGGUACCUCUCGAGGAAGCACCGGCUAACUCCGUGCCAGCAGCCGCGGUAAUACGGAGGGUGCGAGCGUUAAUCGGAAUCACUGGGCGUAAAGCGUGCGUAGGCGGCGCUUCAAGUCAGACGUGAAAGCCCUCGGCUCAACCGAGGAAUUGCGUUUGAAACUGGAGUGCUCGAGUCUCGGAGAGGUUGGCGGAAUUCCAGGUGUAGGAGUGAAAUCCGUAGAUAUCUGGAGGAACACCGGUGGCGAAGGCGGCCAACUGGACGAGUACUGACGCUGAGGUACGAAAGCGUGGGGAGCAAACAGGAUUAGAUACCCUGGUAGUCCACGCUGUAAACAAUGGAUAUUAGGUGUCGGGUUUUAAAUUCGGUGCCCCCGUUAACGCGUUAAAUAUCCCGCCCGGGG